rfam:Schistosoma rodhaini strain Burundi genome assembly, scaffold: SROB_scaffold0010568
GCACUGCUGAGGAGUCCCAUAAUAGGACGAAACGGCUGUCUAGAGC